rnacentral:rRNA from 1 species
CCUACGGGUGGCAGCAGUGAGGAAUAUUGGUCAAUGGGCGCGAGACUGAACCAGCCAAGUAGCGUGAAGGAUGACUGUCCUACGGGUUGUAAACUUCUUUUAUAAAGGAAUAAAGUGAGGCACGUGUGCCUUUUUGUAUGUACUUUAUGAAUAAGGAUCGGCUAACUCCGUGCCAGCAGCCGCGGUAAUACGGAGGAUGCGAGCGUUAUCCGGAUUUAUUGGGUUUAAAGGGAGCGUAGGUGGGUUGUUAAGUCAGUUGUGAAAGUUUGCGGCUCAACCGUAAAAUUGCAAUUGAUACUGGCAGUCUUGAGUACAGUUGAGGUAGGCGGAAUUCGUGGUGUAGCGGUGAAAUGCUUAGAUAUCACGAAGAACUCCGAUUGCGAAGGCAGCUUACUAACCUGCCACUGACAUUGAUGCUCGAAAGUGUGGGUAUCAAACAGGAUUAGAUACCCCUGUAGUC